UCUGCGCGGCGAUUGGUGCCAACAUGCCCUGGCAGGGUGGCGGAACAGAGCAGAGGAGCAGGGGAGCGAGAGCGAAGCAGAGCAGAGGCCGCCGCCAAAGUGGUGCCGGCGGGACAGGCGGAUCAUUCUGCCGACGGGAGGCUGCCCUCCACCCCGGCGUCAUCGUCCUAUUUCAGAGGGCAGAGCUCGGGGUCAUGGCGGCUUGAUUUGAUACAGAGAUGAAGAGACAGAGAGUAGAAUUCACAGAAGAAAGAGGGCACCAGAUUCAGAGUUUCAGGGGAAGAGGUGAAGAGCAGAGUUACAGGUCACAAACUUUUCCAAUGGCAAAAAACAACGGCAAAGCAAACAACUCUCGCUCAAGGGCCGGGACAGCUGUCGACGACGCACCGACUUGCGCUAGACGAUACAGAGCCAACCAUCAGAUCAAGCAGUCCACUUUGGGCCACUGAAUCGUGCAGCUCGGCGGCGCUUUUGCUUAGAGCGUCUGAGUUCUUCAGCUUGUUCUCCUGUACUCUGCUCCAACAUUUCUGCCACAGAUCUUGUAUGCUCCGUACGACUCAUCUUCCAAAAACGAUUUGCAGAGUUUGUGUCUAAUAUUUGUACAAGUUGGGUAAUUGGGUUACUGUUGAACUUCCAGCCAUACAUUGUAUGGAUAGAUCAGUAAGAAGAUACUCGUGGUACAUUAUGUGUAA